rnacentral:rRNA from 1 species
CGGCGUGCCUAACACAUGCAAGUCGUACGAGAAAGCCGGCUUCGGCUGGUGAGUAAAGUGGCGCACGGGUGGGUAACGCGUGGAUAAUCUGCCCUUAAGUGUGGAAUAACGUACCGAAAGGUGCGCUAAUACCGCAUAAUGCCUGGCAACACAAGUUGUCCGGCCAAAGAAGGCCUCUGUUUACAAGCUUUCGCUUCAGGAUGAGUCCGCGUACCAUUAGCUUGUUGGUGGGGUAAUGGCCUACCAAGGCUGCGAUGGUUAGCUGGUCUGAGAGGAUGAUCAGCCACACUGGAACUGAGACACGGUCCAGACUCCUACGGGAGGCAGCAGUGAGGAAUAUUGCGCAAUGGGGGCAACCCUGACGCAGCAACGCCGCGUGAGUGAGGAAGGUUUUCGGACUGUAAAGCUCUGUCGAGCGGGAAGAAGUGUACCAUGGCUAAUAUCCAUGAUAUUUGACGGUACCGCUAGAGGAAGCACCGGCUAACUCCGUG